AAUAUUAAUAUAAUACUAAUUAAAAUCUUAAUUGAAUUUUUAUCAAAUCUUAGAUCAAAUCUUAAUUGAAACUUUAAUUGAAUUUUAAUCAAAUUCUAAAUUAAAUCCUAAUGAAAUCAUAAUUAAAUCUUAAUCAAAUCCUAAAUCAAAUCCAAAUGAAACUUUAAUAAAAUCCUAAUAAAAUCUUAAAUUCUAAAUAAAUCCUAGACCUAAUCAAAUUCUAUACCAAAUCCUAAGUCCUUACAAAAUUUUAGACAAAUCCUAAACUAAAUCCUAAUCAAAUCCUAGAUCUUAAAUAAACU
rnacentral:lncRNA from 1 species